rnacentral:lncRNA from 1 species
GGAACUCGUCCUGGUCGAGAAAGCCCUGAAACAAACCCCCAUAGAAUGCUACAGUCAUACGUCACCUAACGACGGGGAUAUGUUAUGAGAAAUGCAUCGUUAGGCGAUUUCAUCGUUGUGUGAACGUCAUAGAGUGUACUCCCAGAAACCUAGAUGGCAUAGCCUGCUACACACCUAGGCUAUGUGGCACUAAUCUUAUGGGACCUCAUCGUGUACGCAGUCUGUCGUUGACUGAAAUAUUAUGCGGUGCAUGACGGUGAACAAUUACAAAAAACAUAUAAGCACAGUCUGGCCUAUGGUGAUGACCUCUCUGAAUUGAGAACCAUGAGAUUUCAAAGGUCACAUGAUUUGGCUCCAGUGAUAGAAUCUAGGUUUCCUGCAAACCUAAAGGAAUUCAGCAAGUGGGAGCUGCCUCGGGCCUCUGGAUGUAGAGGGACUGAGGCCUAGUGAGGUGAUUUGCCCAAGAUUGCACAGCAAGACUUUACUACAGUGCUCUCUUCACAACAUCAACUUGGAAAAUGUUGGAGAAGAAUUGCUGCUUUGCUAAUUGUAAGGGAAAAUGGUUCUCUUGUUCCUGAAAUCAUACCCCUCCUGGGAGACAGAGGAAUAAAACAGAACCUGAAUGGUCAGUCUUGGAAUGAAAACUGGCUCAAUUUUCUAUCAAUUUUUUUUCUCAGCCACAUUCGUAUUAGGGGCAACUUAUUUAAAUUUAUUAUGUAGCAUCAACAGAGCACCAGGAUUUGUUUAGUGCUACAGUAAGUCACAGUUCCUGCCAAGGCAAAUUGCAUCUCUAUUUUAUAAAUAGUCUGUACCCUGUGCUUAUUUGAUUUAAAAUAAAAUCUGUAUGUAGUAUGCAGUAUGUUUCCUUUGAGCCUUUGUGUGGGGGAGCAGUCUGUGGAUGAGUUCAUACUGGAGACGUUCAACUGAGUGAGAGCUGUUCACUAGAUACUCCAUGGGCUUCUAAUGUUCUCCUGGUGCUUAACUGAUAAAAAAUAAAACCCAGCACUGCCUGCGGGAAAUGUGGAUAAUCUUUAUUCAGCUACUGACGUUCCCAGCACCCCACUUCACAGACUUCAAAUUCUGAAGUCAAUGACCAAUGUCAAAGUGAUAAAUGGAUAGAAGUUACUGGAAGAGCUCCCAUGUAGAGGACUGUAGUUGGGAG